AUAUCAAUAAGCGGAGGAAAAGAAACCAACAGGGAUUGCCUCAGUAACGGCGAGUGAAGCGGCAACAGCUCAAAUUUGAAAUCUGGCCCUUGUGGUCCGAGUUGUAAUUUGUAGAAGAUGCUUCGGGUGUGGUCUCGGUCUAAGUUCCUUGGAACAGGACGUCAUAGAGGGUGAGAAUCCCGUAUGUGACUAGGCAGCCUUCGCUCAUGUGAAGCUCCUUCGACGAGUCGAGUUGUUUGGGAAUGCAGCUCAAAAUGGGUGGUAAAUUUCAUCUAAAGCUAAAUAUUGGCCAGAGACCGAUAGCGCACAAGUAGAGUGAUCGAAAGAUGAAAAGCACUUUGGAAAGAGAGUUAAACAGUAC
rnacentral:rRNA from 1 species